CGCUUCCCCUGAUUCCCAACUGGCUUCCUCGCGGUUGACCAGAACUGAGGUACUUUCCGGGUCAACUCUCAGCACCAAUCACACUCCAUUCGGCUCACCUGCAAGUUCCGGUCCAAGGCAGUGCCUUCGGCCCUUCUGUCAAGGGGAUCCGAGAGAAAGGGGCACCUGAGCCAAGCCUGGAAGGUUGAUCAAGGAUUUUGAGAGGCUGAGAAGAAAUGAGAAAGUGAGAAAAAAACAAGGAAAAUGUACAAGAAGACAAGAUAGAGGGAAAUACGUAAUUUAUCACAGGGGUCAUUCACAGUUUCCAAAUUGCCUAGCACAGC